rnacentral:rRNA from 1 species
UACAGAGGUGGCAAGCGUUGUUCGGAAUUACUGGGCGUAAAGCGCGUGUAGGUGGCUUGGAAAGUCGGGCGUGAAAUCCCGGAGCUCAACUCCGGAACUGCAUCCGAUACUGCCAAGCUCGAGUCUCGGAGAGGCUGGCGGAAUUUCCGGUGUAGAGGUGAAAUUCGUAGAUAUCGGAAGGAACACCAGUGGCGAAGGCGGCCGUCUGGACGAUGUCUGACACUGAGACGCGAAAGCGUGGGGAGCAAGCAGG